rnacentral:rRNA from 1 species
UACAGAGGGUGCAAGCGUUAAUCGGAAUUACUGGGCGUAAAGCGUGCGUAGACGGUUAUGUAAGUCAGAUGUGAAAGCCCCGGGCUCAACCUGGGAAUUGCAUUUGAGACUGUGUAGCUAGGGUGCGGAAGGGGGAAGCGGAAUUUCCGGUGUAGCGGUGAAAUGCGUAGAUAUCGGAAGGAACACCAGUGGCGAAAGCGGCUUCCUGGUCCAGCACCGACGUUCAGGCACGAAAGCGUGGGGAGCAAACAGG